GAACGCACAUUGCGCCCGCCAGUAUUCUGGCGGGCAUGCCUGUCCGAGCGUCAUUUCAACCCUCGAGCCCGCCUUCGCGGCGGGCUCGGCGUUGGGGCUCGCCCGUCCCCCGCAGCGGGCGUCCCCGAAAUCGAGUGGCGGUCUCGCUGUAGCCUCCUCUGCGUAGUACCAUCACCUCGCAGGCGGAGAGCGGCGCGGCCACGCCGUAAAACCCCCGACUCUUUCAAGGUUGACCUCGGAUCAGGUAGGAAUACCCGCUGAACUUAA
rnacentral:misc_RNA from 1 species